UAAUACUCGAAAAACGAAAUACGAACGAGAAAACUCAUCAAAAAUGCUGGACAAUCAAAGCUUAAUCUCAGUGCCUGAAUCCUGCUGCAGUUCGAUUGCCACAAAUGCGGACCUCGACUACGAUGUGCCCGUCUCUCGACGCGUUCGCAUUAAAUCGCCACUCCGAUUAAGUCAUGGACAACUCAUUAACAGCGAAAUCUGACAGGGAACGCGGUAGUCGCAUCCUUUCGAGUUGUUGUUGUGACAGGCGUGUUCAACUGCAGUUCGUGUCCGGAAAUUGUAACGGAUCUCUCAGCUAUCUUGACAAAAAAAUAAAAUAAACACUCGAAUUGAGCCAGGCAGCUGCCACUUUUCUAGUUUUCCAGUUGGCAGCAGCAACAGCAACAGCAGCAAAAUGUCCGCAAUUUUGCAUUCGUUAUCACCUCAGCAGACCGUUUGAUGUGCCAGUUAUACUUAAUAUAUAUAUAUAUACUAGUCAAUAC
rnacentral:misc_RNA from 1 species